AUUAGUCUUUCGCCCCAUGCGCAGAUUUGACGAUCGAUUUGCACGUCAGAACCGCUGCGAGCCUCCACCAGAGUUUCCUCUGGCUUCACCCUAUCCACGCAUAGUUCACCAUCUUUCGGGUCCGAACAGUUAUGCUCUUACUCAAAUCCAUCCGAAGACAUCAGGAUCGGUCGAUGAUGCACCCGUAAGGGCUCUCACCUCCGUUCACUUUCAUUACGCUUGAGGGUUUAACACCCAAAAACUCGCAUAAAUGUUCGACUCCUUGGUCCGUGUUUCAAGACGGGUGGCUGAUGACCAUUAUGCCAGCAUCCUAGCCGAAGCGCGGUCCUCAGUCCCAGCGGCGGUAUUACACAGCAGGCUAUAACACUCCCGGGGGAGUCACGUUCCUGAAGUCUUUAUCCCGCCGCCGAAACUGAUGCUGGCCUCAACCAAGCGGAGUGCACCGGUGAGAACACCGGAUGAUCCGCAAGGCAAAGGUCUGGUCACAAGCCCUUCCCUUUCAACAAUUUCACGUACUAUUUAACCCUCUUUUCAAAGUGCUUUUCAUCUUUCGAUCACUCUACUUGUGCGCUAUCGGUCUCUGGCCGGUAUUUAGCUUUAGAAGAAAUUUACCUCCCAUUUAGAGCAGCAUUCCCAAACUACUCGACUCGUCGAAGGAGAUUUACAGAGGCUCGGCAUCCAACCGUACGGGGCUCUCACCCUCUAAGGCGUCCUGUUCCAAGGAACUCGGAAGGUACCUAACCAAAAUCAUCCUCUACAAAUUACAACUCGGACCCGAGGGCCAGAUUUCAAAUUUGAGCUGUUGCCGCUUCACUCGCCGUUACUAGGGCAU
rnacentral:rRNA from 1 species